rnacentral:rRNA from 1 species
AUUGAACGCUGGCGGCAGGCCUAACACAUGCAAGUCGAACGAGUGGCGGACGGGUGAGUAAUGUCUGGGAAACUGCCCGAGGGAGGGGGAUAACUACUGGCAACGGUAGCUACUACCGCCAACCAUCGGCUGGGCCCAGAUGGGAUUAGCUAGUAGGUGGGGUAAUGGCGCACCUAGGCGCCGAUCCCUAGCUGGUCUGAGAGGAUGACCAGCCACACUGGAACUGAGACACGGUCCAGACUCCGACGGGAGGCAGCAGUGGGGAAUAUGGCACAAGGGGCGCAAGCCUGAUGCAGCCAUGCCGCGUGUGUGAAGAAGGCCUUCGGGUUGUAAAGUACUUUCAGCGAGGAGGCGUUACUCGCAGAAGAAGCACCGGCUAACUCCGUGCCAGCAGCCGCGGUAAUUC